rnacentral:lncRNA from 1 species
UUCUAAAGAGAAAUUAGAGAAUUAUCAAAAAAAAAAAACGUCUAGCUUAAUGGCUAACUACACCCAAUCUCAAAUGAUUGCCUUCUGUUUAUGCUUUCUUGUGCUUCUAGUUUGUCAUGAAUGUAAGUUUUGUCACCAAUUGAAUUUUUUCCUUAUGAAUAAAUAUCAUAAUGAAUAUUUUCAUUGCUUGUUGUUUUUUGUAUUUAGCUAUCAGAACAGAUGUGUUUUCGCCAACUUGCCAUUCAUAUUGUAUAAAGGAUCCUUUAUUCGGCUAUUGUUGUUGUAGUAAUAAACAAUUGUGUGACACCAGUUCGGACGGAAUGGGUUUGUGUACAGAGAAAUGUAAGAAAAAUGGAAAGUGUUGCCCCCCAAAAAUAUAAUUGAUGUAAU